AGUGAACGCUGGCGGUAGGCCUAACACAUGCAAGUCGAACGGCAGCACAGUACUAGCUUGCUCUUACGGGUGGCGAGUGGCGGACGGUUGCUGAAUACAUCGGAAUCUACUUUUUCGUGGGGGCUAACGUAGGGAAACUUACGCUAAUACCGCAUACGACCUACGUGUGAAAGCAGGGGAUCUUCGGACCUUGCGCGAUUGAAUGAGCCGAUGUCGGAUUAGCUAGUUGGCGGGGUAAAGGCCCACCAAGGCGACGAUCCGUAGCUGGUCUGAGAGGAUGAUCAGCCACACUGGAACUGAGACACGGUCCAGACUCCUACGGGAGGCAGCAGUGGGGAAUAUUGGACAAUGGGCGAAAGCCUGAUCCAGCCAUACCGCGUGGGUGAAGAAGGCCUUCGGGUUGUAAAGCACUUUUGUUGGGAAAGAAAAGCAGCAGGUUAAUACCCCGCUGUUCUGACGGUACCAAAAGAAUAAGCACCGGCUAACUUCGUG
rnacentral:rRNA from 1 species